rfam:Triticum aestivum genome assembly, contig: Triticum_aestivum_CS42_TGACv1_scaffold_049928_1BS
CAUGUACUCCCUCCGUCUGGAAAUACUUGUCAUCAAAAUGAAUAAAAGGGGAUGUAUUUAGAUGUAUUUUAGUUUUAGAUACAUCCUUUCUUGUCCAUUUUGAUGACAAGUAUUUUCGGACGGAGGGAGUACGUG